rnacentral:rRNA from 1 species
AUUGAACGCUGGCGGCAUGCUUUACACAUGCAAGUCGAACGGUAACAGGCCGCAAGGUGCUGACGAGUGGCGAACGGGUGAGUAAUGCAUCGGAACGUGCCCAGUCGUGGGGGAUAACGCAGCGAAAGCUGCGCUAAUACCGCAUACGAUCUAUGGAUGAAAGCGGGGGACCGUAAGGCCUCGCGCGAUUGGAGCGGCCGAUGUCAGAUUAGGUAGUUGGUGGGGUAAAGGCUCACCAAGCCAACGAUCUGUAGCUGGUCUGAGAGGACGACCAGCCACACUGGGACUGAGACACGGCCCAGACUCCUACGGGGGGCAGCAGUGGGGAAUUUUGGACAAUGGGCGCAAGCCUGAUCCAGCAAUGCCGCGUGCAGGAAGAAGGCCUUCGGGUCGUAAACUGCUUUUGUACGGAACGAAAAGGCUCUGGAUAAUACCUGGGGCUCAUGACGGUACCGUAAGAAUAAGCACCGGCUAACUACGUGCCAGCCGCCGCCGUAACAC